rnacentral:rRNA from 15 species
ACAGCGAAGAAGGUCGCAGCCAGCUGCGAUAAGCCAGUUUGAGCGAAAAUGCUCCAUCGCUGGAAUUACUGCUUCUCCAUGCGUAGAGCGGUGAAGGUUUCU